rnacentral:lncRNA from 1 species
UAUACAUACUCCGGAUAUCUCAUUUAUUCCCUUUUUUUUCUUUUCAAUCAUGUAAUUCUAAAAUAUCUCUACAGCUAAACAUGAGUUAAAUAUCUAUCAAAGUUAAAAAAAAUCAAAAUACUUUGUUUAUCAUUAACUUUAAAAAAAAUAAAAAAUAUUCGUGAUGGUAGAAAGGGAUAUAUUUGAAAAGAUAACAAUCAAGAUACUUUUUGUGUUUCUAACUUAAACUUCGUUUUGGGAUUGCGUGGAGAUUGCGUUACUUGCAGUGAGAAAGUACGUUGAAAAAAUACCUAUAUGUAAUAUUGCGUUCCGCAUAUCACGAUGAGUCGAUUAUGAUAUAUUUUCUACGGUCCCACCGAAGAGCGCAGAAGUAUAUCCCUAUAUACUUUUUCCUCAACUUCAUUCUAUCUAAUAGCGUUAGAUAAGCCUCAAUACCAAACUAAGGCUUCGUUUGGGAUUGUGGGAGAAUUGCGUUACGUGCGGUGAGAAAGUACGUUGGAAAAAUACCUUAUUUGUUUUCGUACGUAAUAUUGCUUUCCGCAUUAGUCGGUUACGAUAUAUUUUCUGCACUCCCACCGGAAAACGCAGAAACAUAUCGUUAUAUGCUUUUUUCCUCAACUCUAUUUUAUCUAAUAGCGUUAGAUAGCUCUCAAUACCAAACUAAGCCUAAAGCCUUAAAGGGUAAAUAAGAAAAGUCGGUAACAAUAGAAGGGAAUAUUUGAAAGGGCAAAAUAAUAAUUUUAUAAAGAUAACUGCUAUUGCUAAUAAUUCAUUACCAGAAUUAAACUCUAGAAAUAUAUUUGAAAUAUGUUGGAAUGUAAAAAAAAAAUAUUUUUAAUAUUAAUCUUCUAAUAGAGGUAAAUUUAAAAAUCAAAAAUAUUUUAGAAAUAUAUAAAUAAUUGCCCCUAAAUUAAUUUAUAACUAAAUAAAACUAGACUAAUUAUUAAUUAAUAAUAAUUA